rnacentral:rRNA from 1 species
AGUAACUGCGAGCGAAAGGGGAUGAGCCCAAAGCCGAAUCGCGCUGUAAAAGGCGCGAAAUGUGGCGUAUGGAAGGCGUUAUUUUCUUACCUGGACGGCGGAUCAAGUCCCCAUGAACGGGGCACGACCCAGAGCGGGUGCAAGGCCCGUGUUUCCGCUCGUCCUAGUCUGGGAAUCGACGAUUCUUCCGGGAGUCGGGUUGCUUGAAAGUGCAGCCCAAAGUGGGUGGUAAACUCCACCUAAGGCUAAAUAUGACCGAGAGACCGAUAGCAAACAAGUACCUUGAGGGAAAGUUGAAAAGAACUUUGAAGAGAGAGUUCAAUAGUACGUGAAACCGCUUAGAGGUAAACGGGUGGGACCUCGAAAACUGGACGGGCGUAGAUUCAGCCGCGGCAGCAUGAGCCCGACCGUUCGUUGGUUUGACUAACCCCACGAGGGGGAGUCGCUAGCGAACCCGUCGGAUGCCGCGGUGCAUUUCUUUGCUCGUCGAGACGUCGCGACCGGUUGGUAGCGCGUCGGAAGGACAGUGUGGACAGAUAGCUGAUCGCGCAUCGCGCGGUCGGUGUUAUAGUCCAUGACCGUAUUGCUGACGAGCCUUCGACCGGGGACUUUGCGCUUCUUCUCCCUUCGCGGGAGAGCCCAUCGUCGACGUUAGGACUUGAGGGAAUCACGGUGACGUGACCUCUUCUGUUCCUAGCGUCGGCCGGGAAACGGAGGCCAGGGGUCGGCGGCGAGUAGGUCGGUAUCCCACCCGACCCGUCUUGAAACACGGACCAAGGAGUCUAAAGCGUAUGCGAGCUCCCGGGAGUUGACCAUCCCCGAGGGCGCAAUGAAAGUGAAAGACCCUUCUACCUAGGUAGAGGGUCGUAAGUUGGGAUCCGGCUCUCUAGGGAGUCGGCGCACCAACUGCCCGUCCCGUCAGCAACGUCUGUGGGGCGGAGCCAGAGUAUACGCUCUGGGACCCGAAAGAUGGUGAACUAUGCCUUGGCAGGACGAAGCCAGAGGAAACUCUGGUGGAGGUCCGUAGCGAUUCUGACGUGCAAAUCGAUCGUCAGACCUGGGUAUA